rnacentral:rRNA from 1 species
GUACACACCGCCCGUCACAUCAUGGAAGCCGGUCGCACCCGAAGUACAUACGCUAACUUUCGAGAGGCAGUGUCCUAAGGUGUAGCUGGUAACUGGGAUGAAGUCGUAACAAGGUAGCCGUAGGUGAACCUGCAGAAGGAUCA